GGGCCAUUAGCUCAGUUGGGAGAGCGCCUCCAUGGCAUGGAGGAGGUCAUCGGUUCGAGCCCGACAUGGUCCACCA
rnacentral:tRNA from 1 species